UCCUACAUGAAAAGCAGGAAAAAGUUUCUUGAUAAAUUUUAUUUGCUUUUUCUACCUUCAAAUGAGAAUGAAGACAAAUAUUUCUUAUUGAUGCUGUCAGCGACCUCAAACACUGUGUGCUACCCCCUCCUGAGUUUUUCUGUGUCAAAGGGCCAAGUAGCCUUUGCUCUUUCAGCGAUUUCAGUUUGCCAGGUUGCCUAACUCAGAGACCAUGUCUCGUUUUAGUAUGUCUCCUUAGAACUCUGAGUCUUUGGGGAAAGCCAGAUUCAUCCAGUGCAGUGCUAAGACCUUCCUUCCAUAACUAAACAAAGAAGAAAGAAAUCUAGGAAAGCCAUUAAAGGAAGCACAGUAAGAGACAAAAACACAGAAGACAGUGGGGAAAUGUGCCCUUCCCCUUCAGAGAGGAAAUGAGGCCCUGACCUGCACAGAUGCCUCCCUGUUUGCUAGCCCACGGACAGUCUGCACGGAUCAGCAUUCUGCAGCAGCAGUCUGGGAGACAAGAGGGUGCAGCACCACUGUCACUGGCAUGGGCUACAGACUCCAAGAAACCUACAUCUGAAGCCUCGUCCAUGAUUUGAUAUUUUUGAAGUCCUUUUGAGCCCUUGUUUGUUCUUUGAUGACACAAGACCUACUCCCUGAAUCGAGGAAUAAAUAAGAUAUGCUGGGGGGAAUGUACCUGGUAUAGCAUGUGCUCAAUAAAAGGUAGGAGGAAGAGGAAGUCAAAGAGAGAGAAUUAUCAUUAGCCUUGAGAAAUGGGUGCCCCCAUAGGGUAGUCCCUGGCAUUUUAAAUGCUACCAUUGGUACUUUACUCCUUUUUUCUUUUCUCAAUGUCACAUCCCAAAUCGACAUUCACUGAGCUCCUGGUAAAGAAGGAAGGCAGAGUUCAUAAACAAGAGUGAGCUAUAUAUGGAUCCUGCCUUCAAAAGAGCAAGCUGGUGUUAUAGAUGGGAGGGAGGAUGUCCAAGACACACUUCAAAAUGCUGCACAUUGAUCAAUGGGAAAAAUGGAUCUGCAGUUCCUACCACUGGUGAGGGGAAAAGGAAGUGGAGUGGGGCAACUUUACUUAGGGAAGACCAGAGUUCAUGGCUAGGUGAUCAGAAAAGAAACUUCCUUGCAAAAUAGAUCCUACAGAGCAUGGAGGUGCAGCUUCGAGGUAGAUCACGCUAACUUGCCUAAUUAUGCAGAAGGUCCUGUACCACAAUAAUAACAACAACAACAAUAACAGAUGGCACAAAAAUCAUGGCAAAAGUUGGGGUACAUGUCCGAAUAAAAGAAUGGCAGGAGAUGGUGAAGAAGGCACCCUCUGCUCUGGACAUGGUGAGACUGAAUGCUCCCACAUCCGAGAAUUGGAGCCUUGGAUAGAGAGGAAGACAGAGGAAAUCUGACCACCCACGCCACCACCUGCCCUGACCUCUCACCCUGAAGCCUCAGGAAAGGGAAAAUCAAUGGGCUCCCGAAGUGCAGGAGCCCAGGGUUUGGGACUGGAAUUUGCCCCAUGCAGAGUGUUUACUGAUCUAGAGACCAGAUAGGUUCAAUGAGCUCAUCCUUAUCUUGAGAGGAAAUUAGGGAGCUCAGACUAAGACAAAGCCACAUUUUAUUCAAUGAAAAUUUACCCCUCCACCCCCCCACACACACACACACUACACACAAUGUCACAGAAAACAUCUACUUGAGGAACUUUGUCUCUAAAGUUUGGUUCUAAAAAAAAAAAAAAAAAUCAAGGAAUUGGAAAUGGUGAGCUUACAGAAAGCCAGAAAAGUUAUUCCGGAAUCUUUUCCAUUCACCCCCCAUGCAGAUCUAUAUCCUUUUUUUUUUCCCCUACAGUUUGCAAAUAUUGACUAAGUUCAAGGGCAGAGGCUUAAGGUCUAACUUCAGAGUUAGCAUGAGGUGAAAUGCUUAAGAUGGUGCAAUACUGUGCUAAUGAAGAACAUAUUAGAUCCCAAGGUUAGUUAUGGGCAGUUCUUGUCCCCUGACCCAGUUGAUAUUUGUUUUAUCAAGUCAGGGACUAUUUUUGUCAUCAUUGUUAAUCUUCCUCUUGCCAGAUCUGUUUUGGCCGAGGGCAUGCACUUGAGGUAUGUUAGAAGAAUGGAGUGCAGUAUUGUGGGAAAGAAUUAUUGCUAAUUCUGUCUGCCUACAGCUUCCUCAGUCCUAUUUGUCUGAUCUUAACUCACUGAGCAAGAUUAGAGAUGGAAAAUACUGGAAGAGAGUGACCUUGUUCCAGGAAGUAGAUUUUUAACCAAAAGAUCAAGACAGCAGCAGCAUUCCCAUUAAGACGGCAGGUCUUCGUUGUCUUGGAAAGGUUUUGAAUUGCCCAUCAGGGGAGCUCUUGAUGGAGUAUUUUGCCAAAAAAGAAGUUUAUUUCUUCAUGCAUAAGUCCAGUCUAUUGAGACUUAUCUUUGGCCUCCACAUUACCAAGGUCUUGUAUCAAGGAUUCUGGAGACCUGGCCUAAGAUCUCUGGUAGUUCUAGCUGGAAUUCUAAAUGAGCUGGCAUUUCUGACCCAUGAACUUUGGAGUUAAACCAACCCUGGUUCAAAUCUUCAUUUCCCUAUGCCUCAGUUUCUCCAGGUGUGAACAUACUCAUAGCAACGUUCUCCUUGCAAGAUUGUUAUGAGGAUCAACGUGGUAUUGUAUCUGAAAGCAUUCAACACAGUGCCUGUUGCUUCAAAUGGGAUUAAUACAUUUUAGUCUCCUUCCUUCCGCUCAGCCACUCCAGCUGCUGGUGUAUCUCCUUUCUCUGCUGCAUACAUUUGACAUAGUGGAACCAGGCCAGUAACACUUGAGGGGAUGCUGUCCUCAUAAGAAUGAAGAGAGAAAAAGAAAAGUUUCAAACAAUGUUCGGGAUAGCAAGACCCGCUUUUAAAUGAGCUGAAUAUGAACCCUGUGAGCCCCACUGAUGUUUGAAAGAGGUUAAUAUAAAAAUAGAUUUCUAAAAAUCUGAUAAUCAUAGAGUUCAUCAUAUUCUUCUUUUGGAUAUUAAUGAUGUGACUCAGUUAUUCAAGGAACUGAUAAACCCCCUGGGUAGUCGGUUGAAGGAAGAUGAUGUUCUUUUAGACUCAGCAGCCUACCCAGAGUUCUCCCCACUGACACCUCUUGUUUGAGGAUAAUACAUCUAAGAAUUCUAGUAAGUCUUAGCCACUUCCUCUCUUGAGCAUCAUGAGAAUGGUAGAAAUCCACCAAGCUGUAUCCUCCUCUUGGGCAUCCUGAGUUUUCUCAGUUGUCUCAAAACAACUUGCUUCCUAAUGUUAAAUAAAAUGGCCAUUUACAAAGGAGAUAGUCAAAGGUGUAUUUUACAUAAGCCAAUAUUAAAAGAUUCUGAUGGCAGUGAUUACUCUCAUAUUCGAUACAGGAAAUUCUCCAGUGUAUCCUAACUGGUCACAGGGAAAAUUUGUUUGAGCAACACAACACUGCAAGUGUCUUUAUGUUUGAUUUUGGAAAUCAAACGCACCAAACUUUCAAGAAAAUGGCAUAUUAAGACCUUCUGUCUGGUCUCUGUUUCUCUGCUCUUGGCACUUCCCAAUACUAUUAGAGCCAGAUCAGAGGGAGAAAUGGGAAAAGGUCAUCUAGGAUACUUAAUAAAUAUUAAAAUAGUUAAUGUAUAUUUCAAUCCAUUUUUUUAUGUGUUAACAAUAAAAAAUUAGAACAUACAGUAGAAAUGAAAUAGUGAUCAAACCUACAAGUAUUUAAAAUAAUGUUAUAAAACUAAUCUGUAAAGGUGUAAAGAAAACCUACAAGUAUAGGAAAUAAUAAUAACAAUAAUAAUAGCAACUAGAAUUUAUUUUCUUUUAAUGUGCCAAGAAUUGUCCAAUAUUUUUACUUACAUGAUUUGUUUAGUUUUCCUUGGAAAUGUUAUAAGACAUUUAAAAUUAUUAUCCUCAUUAUUUGAAAAAGGAAACUGGGACACAUCGAGGUAAGGUAAUGUUUUGAAUGGGAAGAUCCAAAAUAAUAAAUGUGUUUAUUUUAUCUAA